CAUCCUGCGGGAGGCAGCAGUGGGGAAUUUUACGCAAUGGGGGAAACCCUGACGUAGCGACACCGCGUGAGCGAAGAAGCCCUUUGGGGUGUAAAGCUCUGUCAGCUGGAACGAAAACAAUGACGGUACCAGCAGAGGAAGCAUCGGCUAACUACGUGCCAGCAGCCGCGGUAAGACGUAGGAUGCGAGCGUUGUCCGGAUUUAUUGGGCGUAAAGAGUUCGUAGGUGGUUUGUUAAGUUUGGUGUUAAAGAUCGGGGCUCAACCCUGGGACUGCACUGAAUACUGGCAGACUCGAGUGUGGUAGAGGCUAGUGGAAUUCCCAGUGUAGCGGUGAAAUGCGUAGAUAUUGGGAAGAACACCGGUGGCGUAGGCGACUAGCUGGGCCAUAACUGACGCUGAGGAACGAAAGCCAGGGGAGCGAAUGGGAUUAGAUACCCUGGUAGUCCCAUGA
rnacentral:rRNA from 1 species